GCCGCCAUAGCUCAGUCGGUUAGAGCGUNAAGCCCAAGGUCGCAGGUUCGACCCCUGCUGGCGGCA
rnacentral:tRNA from 1 species